rnacentral:rRNA from 1 species
GCAGGUCGACGAUUCGCGGCCUAUCAGCUUGUUGGUGAGGUAAAGGCUCACCAAGGCAAUUACGGGUAGCUGGUCUGAGAGGACGAUCAGCCACACUGGAACUGAGAUACGGUCCAGACUCCUACGGGAGGCAGCAGGAGGGAAUAUUGCGCAAUGGGCGAAGCCUGACGCAGCGACGCCGCGUGGGGGAUGAAGGCCUUAGGGUUGUAAACCCCUUUCACGAGGGAAGAAAAUGACGGUACCUCGAGAAGAAGCCCCGGCCAACUACGUGCCAGCAGCCGCGGUAAUACGUAGGGGGCGAGCGUUGUCCGGAUUUAUUGGGCGUAAAGGGCUCGUAGGCGGCUUGGCAAGUCGGCCGUGAAAACCCAGGGCUCAACUCUGGGACGCCGGCCGAUACUGCCAUGGCUAGGGUCCGGUAGAGGGGAAUGGAAUUCCCGGUGUAGCGGUGAAAUGCGCAGAUAUCGGGAGGAACACCAGUAGCGAAGGCGGUUCCCUGGGCCGGCACCGACGCUGAGGAGCGAAAGCGUGGGGAGCAAACAGGAUUAGAUACCCUGGUAGUCCACGCCGUAAACGUUGGGCACUAGGUGUGGGACCUUGUCAACGGGUUCCGUGCCGGAGCUAACGCAUUAAGUGCCCCGCCUGGGGGAGUACGG